GGAAUAUUGGACAAUGGGGGCAACCCUGAUCCAGCCAUGCCGCGUGAGUGUUAAGGCCUUCGGGUUGUAAAGCUCUUUUGUAUGGGAAAAUGAUGAUGGUACCAUAAGAAUAAGCACCGGCUAACUUCGUGCCAGCAGCCGCGGUAAUACGAAGGGUGCAAGCGUUGUUCGGAAUUACUGGGCGUAAAGGGCGCGUAGGCGGAUAAGUUAGUCAGGAGUGAAAUCCCGAGGCUCAACCUCGGAACUGCUUUUGAAACGGCUUGUCUUGAGUGUAACAGGGGACAGUGGAAUACCCAGUGUAGAGGUGAAAUUCGUAGAUAUUGGGUAGAACACCGGAGGCGAAGGCGACUGUCUGGGUUACAACUGACGCUGAGGCGCGAAAGCGUGGGGAUCAAACA
rnacentral:rRNA from 1 species